GCUGUGAUUGUAUAGUAGUCAGUACUUUGCGUUGUGGCCGCAACAAUCCUGGUUUGAAUCUGGGUCACACCA
rnacentral:tRNA from 1 species